AGACUCAAUCCCUCGGGUUUCCGAGGAGAUUGGACUUGGGUGUUGCCGCUUUGCCGGCUCGCCUUAAAAGACUUAGCGGGAUAGCACCGUAGCUGGCGUAAUAAGUUUCGUCGGUGAAGGUUGUGAUGACUGCUUACAAUCGCCCUCGGGCAAUUUUUGA
rnacentral:misc_RNA from 1 species